AUUACAGAGAGAAACUGGAAGCCCUCUUGGACUCUUCCAUCGACCACCACAAUCCUACAGCAAUCAGGCAAUUCUUCUACCAGUCUUGCACUGAAUUUGGGUUCUUUCACACCACGGAUUCAAAGAACCAGCCCUUCACUGGAUUGCCUCUCAGUUAUUUUGUUCAACAAUGUUCUGAUUUCUUUGGCCCUAAGUUCAAUAACGAUUCAUUGAAUA